UACGUAGGAUGCAAGCGUUGUCCGGCUUUAUGGGGUUUAAAGGGUGCGUCGGCGGCCUAAUAAGUUAGUGGUGAAAACGUUCGGCUUAACCGGAUACCCGCCAUUGAUACUGAUAGACUUGAGUGCGACAGAGGGUGUUGGAAUGUGUGGUGUAGCGGUGAAAUGCUUAGAUAUCACGCAGAACACCAAUUGCGAAGGCAGAUGCCUAUGUCGUAACUGACGCUGAGGCACGAAAGCGUGUCGAGCAAACAGG
rnacentral:rRNA from 1 species